GUGCCAGCCGCCGCGGUAAUACGGAGGGUGCAAGCGUUGUUCGGAAUUAUUGGGCGUAAAGCGCGUGUAGGCGGCUAUUUAAGUCUGAUGUGAAAGCCCGGGGCUCAACACUGUGAUGCUAAAGAAACUGGAUAGCUUGAGUACGGGAGAGGGUAGUGGAAUUUCGAGUGUAGGGGUGAAAUCCGUAGAUAUUCGAAGGAACACCGGUGGCGAAGGCGGCUACCUGGACCGAUACUGACGCUGAGACGCG
rnacentral:rRNA from 1 species